rnacentral:tRNA from 2 species
GGCGGUCCCGGCGGGGUGGUACACCGUGUUGUGCGUCCGGUGCGCGUAGUCGAUCAGUUCGUCGUCGGUGACCGCCUCC